UUGGAAGCAGCCAUUCAUUUAAAGAGUGCGUAACAGCUCACUAGUCGAGGAGUUUUGCAUGGAUAAUAAUCGGGCAUAAGCCCUUUACCGAAGCUGUGGAUGUCGCAAGACAUGGUAGGGGAGCAUUCCGGCGGCGACGAAGGCCGUCCUCGAGGACGACUGGAGCUUUCGGAAAAGCAAAUGUAGGUAUAAGUAACGAUAAAGGGGGCGUGAAACCCCCUCGCCAUAAGACUAAGGAUUCCUGAUCAACGCUAAUCGGAUCAGGGUAAGUCGGGCCCUAAGGCGCAGCCGAACGGCGUAGCCGAUGGAAGAAACGGUAAAGAUUCCGUUACUGGAUAUAGGAGCGAUGUGGAGACGGAGAAGUGACACACCCGCCUGCCGACGGAAGCGCAGGUUAAAGGAAGUAGGUAAACGCCGGGCAGGCAAAUCCGCCUGGCGUGCCGAAACUGACAGUAUCGAGAGCCCCCGGGCAAUCGAAUAGCGGUGGUAAUCAGGCUCCCAAGAAAAUCCGCUAAGCAUAUUCUAUAUCCACCCGUACCCCAAACGGACACACGUAGUCGGGUAGAAUAUACCAAGGCGCUCGAAAGACUCACGGUUAAGGAACUAGGCAAAUUGACCCUGUAACCUCGGGAAAAAGGGUCCCCAGUAAGAUGGGGCGCAGAGAAUAGGUCCAGGCAACUGUUUAACAAAAACACAGGGCUGUGCGAAAUUUCAAGAUGAAGUAUACAGCCUGACACCUGCCCGGUGCCGGAAGGUUAAGAGGAGAGCUAAUCGCAAGAGAAGGCUUGAAUUGAAGCCCCGGUAAACGGCGGCCGUAACUAUAACGGUCCUAAGGUAGCGAAAUUCCUUGUCGGGUAAGUUCCGACCUGCACGAAUGGUGUAAUGAUCUGGACACUGUCUCAACCGUGACUUCGGUGAAAUUGUAGUAUCGGUGAAGAUGCCGAUUACCCGCAACGGGACGAAAAGACCCCGUGAACCUUUACUGCAACUUAGCAUUGCGUUUGGGCAUUUGAUGUGUAGGAUAGUCCGGAGGCUACGAGUCGGCGACGCCAGUCGUCGAGGAGCCGCUGUUGAAAUACGGACCUUCGAAUGUUUGAGCGCUAACUCGCAGGAGCGAGGACACUGUUUGGUGGGUAGUUUGACUGGGGUGGUCGCCUCCAAAAGCGUAACGGAGGCUUCUA
rnacentral:rRNA from 1 species